UCAAAAGAAGGGAUUUUUAAAGACCACAGCUGCCCCUCUCCAUAUGUCAUUGUGAAUCAAUUGAGAUGCUUUGAAUACCUCUGGAACGUUAUUGUGCACUCUGGAAAAAAACUGCCAUGCUUCCCAGCAUACAAAGUCCUUAAAGGGGCACAGAGGGGGAAAACAAAGAGCAAGGCCAGAGUUCUUGCCCAAGAAUAUUCUCUCUUCCUGCUAACAUUUUGGGAGACAAGAGUAGGAGUCCUGAAGCG